rnacentral:ncRNA from 1 species
ACUUUCCUGCCACCGGGUAGGGAAGUUAAGCGUCAGAGUUUCUAUCGUUAGGUCAUAGAAGAUAGGAAUUUUGGCGUUUUUUUUUU